CAGCCGCCGCGGUAAUACGUAGGUGGCAAGCGUUGUCUGGAAUUAUUGGGCGUAAAGCGCGCGCAGGCGGAUCAGUUAGUCUGUCUUAAAAGUUCGGGGCUUAACCCCGUGAGGGGAUGGAAACUGCUGAUCUAGAGUAUCGGAGAGGAAAGUGGAAUUCCUAGUGUAGCGGUGAAAUGCGUAGAUAUUAGGAAGAACACCAGUGGCGAAGGCGACUUUCUGGACGAAAACUGACGCUGAGGCGCGAAAGCCAGGGGAGCGAACGGGAUUAGAUACCCCUGUAGUCCCUGUCUCUUAUACC
rnacentral:rRNA from 1 species